GUGACAUUCAGUCAGAUAAGACAAGCCAGAGACAAUGAAGGUAACACUGUCAGCGCUCCUCCUGGUCACCUACUUCAUGUCCUCCACAUCAUCGGGAGCAGUCAGUGUCAGUGUCACAGUGACAACAACACAAGCAGUGUCAUUUAUUGAUGAACUAUUUGUUGGUGUCACACUUGACUCUCAUCUCUUGCCGACCCCACAACACUGGGGAGGACUGGACUUCUCAUCUCAGAAAGUCCAGGCACUGGCGAAAGGCUUGUCUCCAUGUUAUCUGAGGAGUGGAGGAACUGCAGGUGAUGGCCUGACCUUUGACCCUACCGGUCAUGGCACAGCAGAUGUCAAUCAUUCAUUUACAGGAGCUACCUGGGAUGCUGUAAAUACAUUUGCCCAGGACGUGAACUGGAAGUUUAUAUUCGGUCUGAACGCCCUCAAGAGGAAGGAGGGACAGUGGGAUCCUACCAACGCAAAGGAACUGCUGCAAUACAACAGUGCGAAGGGGUACCAGCUGGCGGGUUUUGAACUCGGAAACGAACCUGACAUAUUCCCUGAGAAAUAUAACAUCACUGUGAGCGGCAGCCAGUUAGGUGGGGACUUCUAUACCUUCAAGAAGCUGCUCCGAUCGACACCAGGGUAUGAGGUGACACCAGUUAUCGGACCUGACAUGGCCUCUAUAACUGGGGCAAAAUCACAGUUCUUUGCUGAUUUCUUCACAGGAGGGGGAGACAAGGCCGUGGACAGGAUAACUUUUCACCAAUACUACACCAAUGGCCACACUGCACACCUCUCUGACUUUACCGAUACCGCGUUGAUGGACCACCUGGUCACUUAUAUAGAGACAGCGUUGGAUGUGACAAGACGCACCAACCCUCUUACCCCAGUCUGGCUGGGAGAAACAUCCUCCUGUUAUGAUGGCGGUGCAAAGGGAAUCUCAGACAGAUAUGCCGCUGGGUUUCUGUGGCUGGACAAGCUUGGUGUUGCUGCUCGGAUGGGAUUGAAAGCAGUUCUUAGACAGGAUUUCUACGCAGGAAGCUAUGGACUGAUUGAUAAUGAUACCUUUGAGCCAUUGCCUGACUACUGGUUAACCGUCCUGUAUAAGAGACUCGUGGGAGGCGCCGUGUUUUCAGUAGAGACGACCGUGGACAACAGCACCAUCAGGGCCUACGCCCACUGCACAAAGCCUUCCAUUUCCUAUGGCUACAUGCCCGGCGGUGUGACGAUGUAUUUCCUGCUGACCACAGACAACAACACCUCUAUAACGUUCCCACAGUUUCCCGACCAACCUGUAGACGUGUUCUGGUUGACGCCAGUCGAUGGACUCACUAGCAAGUAAGACCCCGACCAACCUGUAGACGUGUUCUGGUUGACGCCAGUCGAUGGACUCACUAGCAGGUAAGACCCCGACCAACCUGUAGACGUGUUCUGGUUGACGCCAGUCGAUGGACUCACUAGCAGGUAAGACCCCGACCUACCUGUAGACGUGUUCUGGUUGACGCCAGUCGAUGGACUCACUAGCAAGAAGGUGGCCUUGAACAACAAACAGCUUGACCUUAUCAAUAAUUCGCUGCCGGAGCUGAAACCUUACAGGACAGAAGAAAACAC
rnacentral:misc_RNA from 1 species